rnacentral:rRNA from 1 species
AUGGCACCUAAUUCCUUUGAGGCACGCUUUUUUGCAAGGAGCAAAACUAUUUCGAGAAGUCCUAUAAGCAUGCGUGCACCCUUAUCAAACGGCGCUUUUGAAAAUUUCAAAAGGAUGUACAUUUUCGCAAGACAUGUGUUCAUGUAUGUGUGCAAUAUUCGUUGUUGUUCUUCUCUUUUCUAUGCAGAUGUACAUCCUUGCGCGGUUGCGCCCAAGAUAUUUCGGUGCCGCAACAGAAACAAAGGCGCGGUGCCUACACUGUUGCUCCCGAUCGCUCCGAAAUGCAAGCACAAGUGCACCAACAAAGGCUACAGAACGUGCGCGCGGCCUCAGUCCCGAAAGCCAAACAUUCGUCACCCAAAGUACAUCGCUUUCGUCGUGUCCAGCCCGUGA